AUAAGUAAGAAAGAGAAGAGAGUGGAUGCCUAGACUUUUGCUUCCGAUGAAGGACGUGGCAGGCUGCGAUAAGCCUCGGUGAGGGAGCCAAGCACCCAUUGAGCCGAGGAUUUCCGAAUAGGGAAACCUAAUCCGAGUCAUGUCGGAUUGCCCCUUAUUUAUAAGGGGGGGACACACAGCGAACUGAAACAUCUUAGUAACUGUGGAAUAUAAAUCAAUAGAGAUUCCCUUAGUAGUGGCGAGCGAAACGGGAACAGCCCAAACCUCACUUCGGUGAGGGGUUGUAGGACUCCAUUUAGGAUUCACGAACCUUAGACGAACGAACCUGGAAAGGACGGCCAAAGCGGGUAAUAGCCCCGUAGUCGAAAAGGUAAGUGACCGAGGAGUAUCCUGAGUAAGGUCGGACACGUGUAAUCCGGCCCGAAUCUGGGAGGACCACCUUCCAAGGCUAAAUAGAGCAAAAGAUCGAUAGUGAACUAGUACCGCGAGGGAAAGGUGAAAAGUACCCCUGAUAGGGGAAUGAAAUAGAUCCUGAAACUCUCUUCUUAUAACAAGUCACGGCCUCACUUGUGGGGUUGUGGCGUACUUUUUGUAGAACGGACCACCGAGUUAGCUGUAUGGGGCUUUGGUUAAGCCAGUUAUAGGCGAAGCCGUAGCGAAAGCGAGUAUGAAUAAUGCGCCUAUGUCCCAUGCACUAGACCCGAAACGGGGUGAGCUACCCAUGGCCAGGAUGAACCCGCCGUAACAGGUGGGGGAGGUCCGAACACACUCAUGUUGCAAGAUGGGGUGAUGAGCUGUGGGUAGUGGUGAAAUGCCUAUCGAACCCCGAGAUAGCUGGUUCUCUCCGAUAUAGCUUUAGGGCUAGCCUCGAUCGUUUUAUUAGCGGGGGUAGAGCUCUUUUUCGGCUAGGGGGUGCACUACACCUACCAAACCGUGAAAAACUUCGAAUACCGUUAUGUAGAUCGGGAGUCAGACCGUGACAGCGAAGUGCCAUUGGUCGUGAGGGGAACAGCCCAGACCGCCUUCUAAGGUCCCUAAUACAGUUUUAGUGGCAAAGGAUGUGAAAUUGCACAGACAGCCAGGAGGUUGGCUUAGAAGCAGCCAUCCUUUAAAGAUAGCGUAACAGCUCACUGGUCGAUGCAAUUUUGCGCCGAAAAUCCAACGGGGCUUAAAUCUGUAACCGAAGAAGCGGGCUUCAACUUAUGUUGAAGCGGUAGGAGAGCGUUCCCAUCCGCUGUGAAGCUCAAUCGUGAGGUUGGGUGGAGCGUUGGGAAGUGAGAAUGGUGGUAUAAGUAACUAAAACCAGAUGAAAACUCUGGUCACCGAAAGCCCAAGGUUUCCCAAGCAACGUCGAUCGGCUUGGGGUUAGUCGGUCCUAAGUUCAUGGCCGAAAGGCCAGAUCGAUGGAUAAUCCGUUAAUAUUCGGAUACAACUUUAUUUUCGCCAGAGCAAGAUCUGAUGACUCGUAUUUUGAACUCCGCUUUGCGGAGGGAUUCUUAUGUUUCUGAUGGUGGCGCUAGUCGAGGACGGACACAGAUGGACUACUGGAGCCUGCCGAUGAAUAUGGUGGGUGCAAGUAUUAAGCUUAUGACCUGAUAGGUAAAUCCGUCAGGUUUCGCAAGGUACGAUGCAAAAUACCUCCCGAAAGGGGGACGAUUCUGGAGGGUUCAACUGUCGAGAAAAUGUUCGCGGCGAGAAAAUAGGGUUACCGUACCGCAAACCAACGCUGGUGGGCAGGUUGAGUAUACUAAGGUGAUCGGGUAAUACUUUCUUAAGGAACUCGGCAAUACAGCAGGUGUAACUUCGGGAUAAACCUUCCCCGAUACUGUCUCGUUCUACGAGGCGGAAUCGGGGCGCAGUUAAAGACUCCAAGCGACUGUUUACCAAAAACACAGCUCUAUGCUAAACCGCAAGGUGAUGUAUAUGGGGCGACGCUUGCCCAGUGCCAGAAGGUCACGAGGAGGGGUUUACGCUCUGAAUCUAAGCCCUGGUGAACGGCGGCCGUAACUAUAACGGUCCUAAGGUAGCGAAAUUCCUUGUCGGGUAAGUUCCGACCCGCACGAAUAGCGGAACGGUUUGGAGACUGUCUCGAGAAAGUGCCCGGUGAAAUUACAGAAUCGGUAAAAACGCCGAUUAACCAUGGAAGGACGAAAAGACCCUGUGCAGCUUUACUCUAGCUUGACAUUGGGUCGAGGUAUGUUUUGUGCAGGAUAGGUGGGAGCCUACGAAGUCACAACGUAAGUUGUGGUGGAGGCAACCUUGAGAUACCACCCUGAACAUAUUUUGGCUCUAACCCCGUGUAAGAAGCGGGGGACAGUGUUUGGUGGGGAGUUUAACUGGGGCGGUUUCCUCCUAAAGUGUAACGGAGGAGCGCGAUGGUUCCCUUAGCCUGGAUGGAAAUCAGGCUGGACGUGUAUUCGCACAAGGGAGCUUAACUGUAAGACCAACAAGUCGAGCAGAUGCGAAAGCAGGCGAAAGUGAUCCGAUGCCUCUACGUGGGUAGGGCAUCGCUCAACGGAUAAAAGUUACGCCGGGGAUAACAGGCUGAUCGAUUCCAAGAGUUCACAUCGACGAAUCGGUUUGGCACCUCGAUGUCGGCUCGUCGCAUCCUGGGGCUGGAGAAGGUCCCAAGGGUAUGGCUGUUCGCCAUUUAAAGCGGUACGCGAGCUGG
rnacentral:rRNA from 1 species